rnacentral:misc_RNA from 1 species
UUUCCGUAGGUGAACCUGCGGAAGGAUCAUUAUUGUAUAACCGAGGUGCGAGGGCUGUCGCUGACCCGAAAGGUCGUGCACGCCCGAGUGCCCUCACACACAUCCAUCUCACCCCUAUGUGCACCACCGCGUGGGUCCCCCUUUGGCUUGUUCGGAGGGGGGCUUACGCUUUCACACAAACUUUGUAUGCAGUGUAGAAUGUAUUUUUUGUUUUUGCGAUCACGCAAUCAAUACAACUUUCAACAACGGAUCUCUUGGCUCUU